AUCUAGAUGACGAGUCCCAAAUAGAACGAAACGCAUGUCUUGGAU
rnacentral:hammerhead_ribozyme from 1 species